CGCGGGGUAGAGCAGUUUGGUAGCUCGUCGGGCUCAUAAUCCGAAGGUCGUAGGUUCGAAUCCUAUCCCCGCAACCA
rnacentral:tRNA from 2 species